CAAGUGACCAGACGUGCUUUACAGAAAGGUGUGGUUGCCACUUCAAACAGAUUUUGUGUUUUGGUGUCUUGCUGCUAUUAGUGACUGCAUCAGUACUGAC